GUAGGUGAACCUGCGGAAGGAUCAUUAGUGAAUAUUAGCGCAUCUACUUGUAGAGCGUGACCUCCACUUUCUAACUCUGUGCAUUUAUUGGCGGAAGAACUAGAGUAAUCAAAUUCUUCUGCGGCUCAUUUUAUAACACUAGUUAAAGUAUGUAACGAAAUAUCGAAACAAAAAAAAACUUUCAACAACGGAUCUCUUGGCUUGC
rnacentral:misc_RNA from 1 species